GACGAACGCUGGCGGCGUGCUUAACACAUGCAAGUCGUACGGUAAGGCCCUUUCGGGGGUACACGAGUGGCGCACGGGUGAGUAACACGUGAGUAACCUGCCCACAACUUUGGGAUAACGCUAGGAAACUGGUGCUAAUACUGGAUAUGUGCUCCUGCUGCAUGGUGGGGGUUGGAAAGCUCCGGCGGUUGUGGAUGGACUCGCGGCCUAUCAGCUUGUUGGUGGGGUAGUGGCCUACCAAGGCGGCGACGGGUAGCCGGCCUGAGAGGGUGACCGGCCACAUUGGGACUGAGGUACGGCCCAGACUCCUACGGGAGGCAGCAGUGGGGAAUAUUGAACAAUGGGCGCAAGCCGGAUGCAGCAACGCCGCGUGCGGGAUGACGGCCUUCGGGUUGUAAACCGCUUUCAGCAGGGACGAAGCUUUUUGUGACGGUACCUGCAGAAGAAGCACCGGCUAACUACGUG
rnacentral:rRNA from 1 species